rnacentral:rRNA from 1 species
UACGAAGGGGGCUAGCGUUGCUCGGAAUCACUGGGCGUAAAGGGUGCGUAGGCGGGUCUUUAAGUCAGGGGUGAAAUCCUGGAGCUCAACUCCAGAACUGCCUUUGAUACUGAAGAUCUUGAGUCCGGGAGAGGUGAGUGGAACUGCGAGUGUAGAGGUGAAAUUCGUAGAUAUCGCAAGAACACCAGUGGCGAAGGCGGCUCACUGGCCCGGUACUGACGCUGAGGUGCGAAAGCGUGGGGAGCAAACAGG